rnacentral:rRNA from 1 species
AGGACGAACGCUGGCGGCGUGCUUAACACAUGCAAGUCGAGCGGAAAGGCCCUUCGGGGUACUCGAGCGGCGAACGGGUGAGUAACACGUGAGCAACCUGCCCUGGACUUUGGGAUAACCCUCGGAAACGGGGGCUAAUACCGAAUACGACACAGCUUCGCAUGGGGUCUGUGUGGAAAGUUUUUCGGUCUGGGAUGGGCUCGCGGCCUAUCAGCUUGUUGGUGGGUGAUGGCCUACCAAGGCGACGACGGGUA